CCUACGGGAGGCAGCAGUGGGGAAUAUUGCGCAAUGGGCGAAAGCCUGACGCAGCGACGCCGCGUGAGGGAUGAAGGUCUUCUGAUCGUAAACCUCUGUCAGGCGGGAAGAAGUGGUUAUAUGCGAAUAGUGUAUGCCUUUGACGGUACCUCCAACGUAAGCACCGGCUAACUCCGUGCCAGCAGCCGCGGUAAUACGGGGGGUGCGAGCGUUAAUCUGAAUCACUGGGCGUAAAGCGCGCGUAGGCGGCUUUUCAAGUCAGGGGUGAAAUCCGCCGGCCCAACCGUGGAACUGCCGUUGAAACUGUAGAGCUUGAGUGUCGGAGAGGGUGGCGGAAUGCCAGGUGUAGGAGUGAAAGCCGUAGAUAUCUGGAGGAACACCGGUGGCGAAGGCGGCCACCUGGACGACAACUGACGCUGAGGUGCGAAAGCGUGGGUAGCAAACAGGAUUAGAUACCCCUGUAGUC
rnacentral:rRNA from 1 species